UGGGGAAUAUUGCACAAUGGGCGCAAGCCUGAUGCAGCAACGCCGCGUGAACGAUGAAGGUCUUCGGAUCGUAAAGUUCUGUUGCAGGGGAAGAUAAUGACGGUACCCUGUGAGGAAGCCCCGGCUAACUACGUGCCAGCAGCCGCGGUAAUACGUAGGGGGCUAGCGUUAUCCGGAUUUACUGGGCGUAAAGGGUGCGUAGGUGGUCUUUCAAGUCGGUGGUUAAAGGCUACGGCUCAACCGUAGUUAGCCUCCGAAACUGGAAGACUUGAGUGCAGGAGAGGAAAGUGGAAUUCCCAGUGUAGCGGUGAAAUGCGUAGAUAUUGGGAGGAACACCAGUAGCGAAGGCGGCCUUCUGGGCCACGACUGACGCUGAGGCGCGAAAGCUAGGGGAGCGAACAGG
rnacentral:rRNA from 1 species